AUAUAUAUAUAUAUAUAUAUAUAUAUAUAUUUGAGCUAGAAUACUAUCGGUAGCAAACGGGUUCCGUAGCCACAUAUUUGUUUUCGAUGAUGGAAUCUCCAAAUCGACGAUCGGUACCGUUGAACAUGAUCUAUACCACUUGAAGUAUUUAGAAAUCAAAUUUCAUACAUUUCAAUAUUAUUCUUUUAUCCAUCGAGUGGACACAAAAAUAAACGGCUAAAAAUGAAUAUUCUUUAAAAAAUGAUGAUAGGAGUCUUGUAGUCAAGAUUAAGAGUAUACAUCUUAUUUUAAAUAGUUAAAGAAUUUUCUAAUAAAAAUUCAAUUGAUUUGGAUAUUUUUACGCCUUUAAACGAGAAAACGCUUUAUAUCGACCAUUAAAAUUACAAAUUUUGAAUCCUUUUGAUCAUUAGACAAAUGAUGUUGAAAAGAUUUGAAAUUUGAUUUCUAAACAUUUCAAGUGAUAUAGAUCAUGUUCAACAGUCCCGAUUAUCGAUUCGAAGGCCCCAUCAUAGAAAACAAAUGGAUGACAACGGAGCCCGUUUACUACCUAUAGUUUUCCAACUCAACAAUAUAUAUAUAUAUAUAUAUAUAUAUAUAUAUAUAUAUAUAUAGUGUCUCCUGUACUUUCGAAAGUACGGAGACCUCCGUACUUGUAAGUUGUUUUAUAUAUAUAUAUUAAUAUAUAUAUAAAUUAUAUAAUAUACAAUUCCUUAAAUAUUUAUUUACACUAAGGGCUUGUUUGGUUCAAGAGUGGAAUUGAAAUGAAUAAUGGAAUGAGAAUGAAUUGGAAUAGCAAUUGGAUUUCCCCACUCUCCCAAGACGUUUGAUUCAUUUCUUGAUUGGAAAUCGGAAUUAAUUAUUCUUAUUUUACUGUUUAGUUGAUACAAAGUUAAAAAAUAAUAUAAUAAAAUAAUGCUAAUUUUACUUUUAAAUAUAAUUUUAUAAAACUAUCUAAAAUUUAUAAAAAAAAAUUAUUAUAAAAAAAAAUUAAUAAGACUCUCAAGUUAGAGUUAUGCCAAAAAAAUUUGAAUUUAUUUUAAAAAUUUUUAUGCAAGAAAUUACAAAAAAAGCCCUUUUUUUUAAUGAUGAGAAAAGAGAGAAGAGAUAGGUAUAGAAAGAGAAAGGAUGGAUAAAAUGGAAAAAUGUUAGGCUAGGCGUGAGGAAGAGGUGAGUGUGGGCUUGGAAUUGAAAUUUCAAUCCGGAUUUGAAAACCGAAAUCAAUUUGUAAGCUAAUGGACCAUUUCCAUUCCGAUCCGAAAUGGGAGUCUCAAACCGAUUCCUGUGAACCAAACAAAAUUAGCCGGAUUUGAUCAAACCGAUUCCCAUUCCGGAUCCAAAAUAUAUGAACCAAACGUGCCCAAAAACUAGAA
rnacentral:lncRNA from 1 species